rnacentral:rRNA from 1 species
ACGUACGCUGGCGGCACGCCUAACACAUGCAAGUCGAACGAAGUAGUAAUACUUAGUGGCAGACGGGUGAGUAACAUGUAGGUAUCUGCCCUUUGGCCUGGAAUAACACGAGGAAACUUGUGCUAAUACCGGAUAAGUCUUUACGGAGAAAGCUUUAUGCACCAUUGGAUGAGCCUGCACUUGAUUAGUUUGUUGGUGGGGUAAUGGCCUACCAAGACUGUGAUCAAUAGCUGAUUUGAGAGGAUGAUCAGCCACAUUGGGACUGAGACACGGCCCAAACUCCUACGGGAGGCAGCAGUGGGGAAUCUUGCACAAUGGAGGAAACUCUGAUGCAGCGAUGCCGCGUGAGUGAAGAAGGCCUUUGGGUUGUAAAGCUCUUUCGUCGGGGAAGAAAAUGACUGUACCCGAAUAAGAAGGUCCGGCUAACUUCGUGCCAGCAGCCGCGGUAAUACGAAGGGACCUAGCGUAGUUCGGAAUUACUGGGCUUAAAGAGUUCGUAGGUGGUUGAAAAAGUUGGUGGUGAAAUCCCAGAGCUUAACUCUGGAACUGCCAUCAAAACUUUUCAGCUAGAGUAUGAUAGAGGAAAGCAGAAUUUCUAGUGUAGAGGUGAAAUUCGUAGAUAUUAGAAAGAAUACCAAUUGCGAAGGCAGCUUUCUGGAUCAUUACUGACACUGAGGAACGAAAGCAUGGGUAGCGAAGAGGAUUAGAUACCCUCGUAGUCCAUGCCGUAAACGAUGUGUGUUAGACGUUGGAAAUUUAUUUUCAGUGUCGCAGGGAAACCGAUAAACACACCGCCUGGGGAGUACGACCGCAAGGUUAAAACUCAAAUGAAUUGACGGGGACCCGCACAAGUAGUGGAGCAUGUGGUUUAAUUCGAAGAUACGCGCAGAACCUUACCAACACUUGACAUGUUCGUCGCGACUCUAAGAGAUUAGAGUUUUCGGUUCGGCCGGACGAAACACAGGUGCUGCAUGGCUGUCGUCAGCUCGUGUCGUGAGAUGUUGGGUUAAGUCCCGCAACGAGCGCAACCCUCACUUUUAGUUGCCAUCAUUAAGUUGGGCACUCUAAAAGAACUGCCAGUGAUAAGCUGGAGGAAGGUGGGGAUGACGUCAAGUCCUCAUGGCCCUUACGUGUUGGGCUACACACGUGCUACAAUGGCAUCUACAACAGGAAGCAAAACGGCAACGUUAAGCAAAUCCCGAAAAGAUGCCUCAGUUCGGAUUGCACUCUGCAACUCGAGUGCAUGAAGCUGGAAUUACUAGUAAUCGUGGAUCAGCGUGCCACGGUGAAUGCGUUCCCGGGUCUUGUACACACCGCCCG